UACGGAGGAGGCAAGCGUUAUCCGGAAUUAUUGGGCGUAAAGCGUCCGCAGGUGGCACUUCAAGUCUGUCGUCAAAGACUGGGGCUUAACCCUGGAAAGGCGGUGGAAACUGAAGCGCUAGAGUGCGGUAGGGGUAGAGGGAAUUCCCGGUGUAGCGGUGAAAUGCGCAGAUAUCAGGAAGAACACCCGUGGCUAAGGCGGCUCUCUAGUACGGUACUGACGCUGAGACGCGAAAGCGUGGGGAGCGAACAGG
rnacentral:rRNA from 1 species